GAAUUCAGGUCUUCUUGUCUCUACUGUAAACCUUAAAAUUUCUUAGACUUAUAAAUGUUGGAAAUUUCACCAUUGGGAAAUUUCAUACUUGGAAAAUUUCUUACUGAUAGUCUAUUGGAAUGUGAACCCCAUUGGCAAGGGAGGUUCCUCCUCCUCCCUUCUUAAGAUUACUUUAGGACAGAAACCUUUUGCUGAACAAUGGAAAGGGCUGCAGCAUAAAUCAAAAUUUAAUUAUUCCAAUCUCCACCCUACUCAGGGUAACAGGAUUUAGGAAGGGCUGCAGCAUAGAUCAAAAUUUAAUUAUUCCAAUCUCCACCCUACUCAGGGUAACAGGAUUUAGGAAGGGCUGCAGCAAAGGAUCAAGAUUUAAUUAUUUGAGAAUAUGACCUUCAACAGACAUGUGCAAAGCCACAGACCUCUGGGCGGUCCUGGGUUAAGGUAGAGCCACCAUUGGCACAGGGAAGACAUGGACAGUGAUUGGUAGAUGUGAGAACUGAGGGGAGGGAACUUGGAUGGUUUCCUUAAAGAUAGCGGGGUCUGAGGACUAGGGGUGGUUGGUUGGAGAGGUUUUGCUUUGAGAGGUUGUGCUCGGAGAAGCUUGCUCUGAAGGAAGCUGGAGGUGGAGGCCCCCGAGACUGUUUCUCCAUUUUGGUCACACUCUACCACAGGAAGACCACACAAUGUGGGCUAUUUAGUCUUCUCACAUUCUGACUACACUGCCAAGGUACCACCGGAGCAUUCUGGCUGUCUACUUGUCAUCCUCUUCCAUUGACACAUGACCAGUCCAUCUUCUCUUCUGGACAAAAAUUUUCCUGUUGACAUCUUUUAUUGCUCCUUUCCUUUGGGAAGGACCCAACUUUUAAAUAUCAACAUCCUACUAAUUUUGAUAUAUGACUCCAAGACAUGGAAUACAAAAGUCUAAGAAGAAUUAAAAACAAGAAUCACACAAAGGACAGUCUUCUAAGAAGAGGCACAAAAUCAGCCACCAUUUUGAUCCUCCCCAGACUGGGAUGUUUGGUGACUCACAGUCACAGCAUCACUGGGAGCACUUUGGGCUUUCAAAGAUGGGCUUUUGCAACAACAAGCCCCCAGCUACUACUAAAGGUACUAUAGGAUUCCCCAGAUGCCCAUAUGGUUCUGUGUCCAGUAUGCUGCCCAUCUAGCCUGCCUAAAAGAUAAUCAUCAUCAUCAUGAUAUUAAUUGCUGACACG
rnacentral:lncRNA from 1 species